GACGAACGCUGGCGGCGUGCCUAAUACAUGCAAGUUGAGCGCUGAAGGUUGGUACUUGUACCAACUGGAUGAGCAGCGAACGGGUGAGUAACGCGUGGGGAAUCUGCCUUUGAGCGGGGGACAACAUUUGGAAACGAAUGCUAAUACCGCAUAAAAACUUUAAACACAAGUUUUAAGUUUGAAAGAUGCAAUUGCAUCACUCAAAGAUGAUCCCGCGUUGUAUUAGCUAGUUGGUGAGGUAAAGGCUCACCAAGGCGAUGAUACAUAGCCGACCUGAGAGGGUGAGCGGCCACAUUGGGACUGAGACACGGCCCAAACUCCUACGGGAGGCAGCAGUAGGGAAUCUUCGGCAAUGGACGAAAGUCUGACCGAGCAACGCCGCGGGAGUGAAGAAGGUUUUCGGAUCGGAAAACUCUGUUGGUAGAGAAGAACGUUGGUGAGAGUGGAAAGCUCAUCAAGUGACGGUAACUACCCAGAAAGGGACGGCUAACUACGUG
rnacentral:rRNA from 1 species